CAGUGUGGGUUGCCUUGACAGUUUACAGUUUUUGGACAGGAGUAUUAGCAAAGUGUAAGGAAAUUGUCAAGGCCUGGAGGUACGUGUGUUUAACUUACCUACAGUUAUAUAUUUACUAAGUGAUGCAUGUCUGAAGCACCAAGGAAACUGCUUUUCCAAAAGAGUG
rnacentral:lncRNA from 1 species